UACGGGGGGGGGGGCAAGCGUUGUUCGGAAUUACUGGGCGUAAAAGGGCUCGUAGGCGGCCAACUAAGUCAGACGUGAAAUCCCUCGGCUCAACCGGGGAACUGCGUCUGAUACUGGGAGGCUUGAAUCCGGGAGAGGAAUGCGGAAUUCCAGGUGUAGCGGUGAAAUGCGUAGAUAUCUGGAGGAACACCGGUGGCGAAGGCGGCAUUCUGGACCGGCAUUGACGCUGAGGCGCGAAAGCCAGGGGAGCAAACGGG
rnacentral:rRNA from 1 species